rnacentral:misc_RNA from 1 species
UACGAAGGGGGCUAGCGUUGUUCGGAAUUACUGGGCGUAAAGCGCACGCAGGCGGAUCGUUAAGUCAGGGGUGAAAUCCCGGGGCUCAACCCCGGAACUGCCCUUGAUACUGGUAGUCUUGAGUUCGAGAGAGGUGAGUGGAAUUCCGAGUGUAGAGGUGAGAUUCGUAGAUAUUCGGAGGAACACCAGUGGCAAAGGCGGCUCACUGGCUCGAUACUGACGCUGAGGUGCGAAAGCGUGGGGAGCAAACAGG